CUCGAGGGAGCGCUGCUUGAAGUGGAUGAACUGCUGCACCUGGAUGUGCAGGGAGAAUGCGGCGUUGCGGGGCGCCGUGGCGGCGCCGGAGAUGGCGAAGUUGGCGCCAUUGGUGAAGUCGGUGCCCAGGGGCUCCAGGUACGGGCUCAGGUAGCUCAUGUUCAGGCUCUCACCUGCA
rnacentral:sRNA from 1 species